rnacentral:tRNA from 1 species
GUGGUGGGUAGCUCAGUGGUUAGAGCGCCUAAAUAUCCUUAUUCACUCCUUGCCUGAAGAGGCCGACGAAUUGAGGGUUAUCGCCUGUGAAGCGGGAGGUCGCGGGUUCAAAUCCCGCUCCACUACACCA